rnacentral:rRNA from 1 species
GACGAACGCUGGCGGCGUGCUUAACACAUGCAAGUCGAACGGAAAGGCCCUGCUUGCAGGGUACUCGAGUGGCGAACGGGUGAGUAACACGUGGGUGAUCUGCCCUGCACUUCGGGAUAAGCUUGGGAAACUGGGUCUAAUACCGGAUAGGAGCCAUCUUUAGUGUGGUGGUUGGAAAGUUUUUUCGGUGUAGGAUGAGCUCGCGGCCUAUCAGCUUGUUGGUGGGGUAAUGGCCUACCAAGGCGGCGACGGGUAGCCGGCCUGAGAGGGUGUACGGCCACAUUGGGACUGAGAUACGGCCCAGACUCCUACGGGAGGCAGCAGUGGGGAAUAUUGCACAAUGGGCGCAAGCCUGAUGCAGCGACGCCGCGUGGGGGAUGAAGGCCUUCGGGUUGUAAACUGCUUUCGCUAGGGACGAAGCUUUUUGUGAGGGAACCUAGAUAAGAAGCACCGGCUAACUACGU